rnacentral:rRNA from 1 species
GUAGGUGGCAAGCGUUGUCCGGAAUUAUUGGGCGUAAAGCGCGCGCAGGCGGUUCUUUAAGUCUGAUGUGAAAGCCCACGGCUCAACCGUGGAGGGUCAUUGGAAACUGGAGAACUUGAGUACGGAAGAGGAAAGCGGAAUUCCACGUGUAGCGGUGAAAUGCGUAGAGAUGUGGAGGAACACCAGUGGCGAAGGCGGCUUUCUGGUCUGUAACUGACGCUGAGGCGCGAAAGCGUGGGGAGCAAACAGGGAUUAGAUACCCUGGUAGUCCACGCCGUAAACGAUGAGUGCUAAGUGUUAGGGGGUUUCCGCCCCCUUAGUGCUGCAGCUAACGCAUUAAGCACUCCGCCUGGGGAUACGGCCGCAAGGCCG